AGGAUGAAGUCACUGAUGUAGUGUGAGCUCAUGAUAGGACCAUUGCCUAUCUUAUUCUGAGUGGCCCAGUAUUUUUAGACUUUGAGCAUUUGGCAUUGAAAGAAAUGUGUGUCAUUGCACAAUGAAUGCUCUCCCUGACACAUGUUCAGCAACAGAAGGAAGCCUGUCGCUCAGCAUCUGCCCACAUCUCCAUCUGUGGAGAUGUGACCUGGGGCCAGUUGACCUACCCUGGCCUCAGAUGGCUCACUGCAAAGUGGAGUCUUGUUAAACAAGAACAUGACUGAAGCCCCAGGUUGGCAUAUGGGAACCUCUUCAGACACAGGGUCUCACGGAGUUGCUUGGCGCCUCGCCAUUGC